rnacentral:rRNA from 1 species
GAAUUUAAACAUGGUUUUUUUAAAAAAAGUUUUUAAUAGUCUUUAUAUAUUAAAUUUAUAAAAUAGUAAAUUAUAGAAGAAAUUUUUUUUCUUAAUUUCUUAAAUAAGAAAUAAGUUAUUAAUUUUUAAACUUGGCGAUGCUUGUGCCAGCCGCCGCGGUUAUACAAGCAAGUUAAUUUUUUUCUUUCUAUAAGGAAAAAAAAAAUUAAAUUUAGUAAAAGUCUUUAUAGGUGAAAUUAAAAGAUUUUAAAUUGUUUGAAUGUUCUA